GGCCAUGGCUCAGUGGUAGAGCAUCUGCUUGGCAUACAGAAGGUCCCAGGGUCAAUCCCCAGCAUCUCCU
rnacentral:tRNA from 1 species